rnacentral:rRNA from 1 species
UAAUACAACCCUAUGCGGUGGAUCACUUGGCUCGCGAGUCGAUGAAGAGCGCAGCAAACUGCGUGAAUUAAUGUGAUUUGCAGGACACCAUUGAUCAUCGAUAUCUUGAACGCAUAUUGCGGUUAUGGAUCACUUCCAUGACCAUGCCUGUCUGAGGGUCGGUAUU